UCACAGCAAAGAAGGUAGUCUUUCUUUUAUUCAAUAAUCCAUUAAUUGAGUAUAGAUCAACAGCCACGAACAAUAGAAAAAUGAUAUAAUUAUACAAGUUAAGCAUAAGCAGUAUGCUUUAUCAUCAACGAUCCCAAUCUAUAUUAUAUAUAAAGAAGGAGUUUUAACGGCUAUAAAUUCCCGGCAAAAUUUUUAGCAGUUAUUUUUUCAAAUUUUAUACUUUGAAAAGACGUGGGUUUCAGCAAAAACUCAGUUGUUCUUCCAAAAUUUCAGCAACAAAUCAUUUUUUUUUCAAAAUUUCAAUCACAUUUCAGAAAACACAAUAACAGAAACGAAAAUUCCAGUAAUAAUUCAACAGCCACGCAAACAAAAUUAAUUGAAAAUCUUCAUCAUAAAAAGGAAAAUGACAGACGAUAAUUUCUUAAGCAAUUGAACAAAUUUGUUUUACCCAAGAAAUUUUCUAAUUCAAAAUCUUGAAUGCGCUUUUUUCUUUUUCUUCUAUAUUAAAGAGAAGAUGAAAUUUUGAAUAGAAAAUAACUUCAAUCUGCGUAAGAAAUUGAACAAAUUUGUCUUGCAUAAAGAACUUUUCUUGAAUCUUCUUUUUCUCUUAUUAAUUGAGAUAAAAGAACUUGAAUAACUCCGAUGAAAGAAAAAGGGAAGAAGAAGCAGAAGCGGUGCUACAUUUCCGAUGCUAUUGUAAUUUCAAUGCAUUCACUUCAACGAUCUGGGGCUAUCGACGCUUUCAACUAUACAUAAUUCUGAAAAUUGCAGUUUCACCACUAUUGUUUAUGAGAAUUAAGAAGAAGGUAAUGAAAUUAUUUUGCAAAAAAAGAAAGAAAAAAGAAGAAGAAGAAGAUAACCGUUGCAGAAAGAAGACGAAGAAAAUGAAAAGGGCGACGUUGUAGAAAGAAGAAAAGCGCAAGAAGAAGAAGAAGAGGACGCAGCGACGCUGCAUCGAAAAAGAUGAAAUUCAUGGAAUUUUGAAUAGAAAGUAGGGUUUUCACUAUUCUUUCUUCGGUUUACUUGUAUUUGUAUUUCUUUUAAUUAAUUUUGGGGAAUUUAAAGAUGGGCUUUCAAUAAGUUGAUUCUUUGAGCCCAAAUUGAAUCGAAUCUUUAAAUUCCCAAAACUAAUAUAUUAGGUUUAUGCUAAUAAUUUUGUUUAAUUUAAUUAAAGAUCUAAAACUAUUAAAUUAAGUGUGGGAUAUUGAUUAAAAUUAUAGAACUUUAAAUAUGGUUUAUAAUAUUUUUUUUAUCUUUGUGUAUGAAAAUAUUUAUUUAUUAAUUAUAAAAUGUCUAAUAUUUUAUAAUUAUAAUGCGUGAUAUUAAUUAUAAUUAUUAAUAAUUUAAAUAUUCAUAUAAUAUACUUCAUCCGUCCACAAAAAUUAGUCAUUAUUCAUUUUUAGAUUAAAUGGUGGGUCUCUUUCUCCACUAACAAUAUAAUUAAUUAUCAUUAUUAACAUCUAUAUAAUAUAUAGAAGAGGAGUUUUCUCCCUCUACUUUUUAUCUCUCUUCUCCCAUCAAUUUUUUUAACUAUUUCUUUUUUCUCUUUUUUUUUUAUAAUUUUAAUUCUUUUUCUAAACAUGAUCAAAUUUAAUUUAUAAAAAAAUAUUCAAUGUGCAUCUUAACUUAAAUUCGUCGGAAGAUCUUUAAUAUGGUAUAAAAAUUAUAAAAAAUGAAUUUCAAACGAAUAAGUUACUAAAUUUUUAAAUUAUUUUUUUUUCUUUGUUAAAAUUUUUCAACUUUUUAUUUAUGUUUUGUGAAUAAAAAAAUUUCAACUUUUUUAUUUAUGUUUGUGAAUAAAACUAUUUAUUUAUUAUUAUUAUGUGAAAUACUCUAUAAUGAUAAUGUGAAAUAUUAAUUUUCAUUAUCAAAUAAUUGAAAAAUAAUUUAAUAACUAUGAUUAUCAUUACACUUUAUACAUAAUUGAAAAUUACGUUUUUAAAUUCAAAAUUUUAUUGAGUAAUUAGUAUUUUAUUUUUAAAUCAUAUUUUGUAUUUAUAUAUUAUAUUUUAUUUCUGUUUAAUAUUUAUAUAUUUUUAUUUAAACAUAUCAUUUAAUUUCGAUUUUGCCGUGCAUCGCACGGAUGGUUGUACUAGUUUUCAGUAAUUGAACAAGAAACCAGAUAAAUAAAAACGAAGGAAAAAAAGGUAGAAUCUUGGGCAGUAGACGAAGCUGCCACACCGGAGUCGACGAUGCCGACCAAUUCCUGAUAUAGAACAUAGUUAGAGAUUUAUUUAAUUUAACGUAUUAAAACCACAAUUCCUGAUAUAGAACAUAGUUAGAGAUUUAUUUAAUUUAACGUAUUAAAACCAGAAAAUAGAGAAAAAGAGAAGAGAUAGAGAAAGAAAGGGAAAGCAGAGGCGGCGGCCACCCCCGGCAUUGCUACGCAGCCACGGCUCACGGCGGCAGCCGCGAACAGGGCAGAGAAAGAAAGAUCGAGAGGGGCAGAGUGAGAGAGACUGAGAGGGAGGAUAUAGAGAGAAGAAGAGAGAUAGGGGACUUACCUGAGGCAGGAAGAACGACGGAGGAGCGGAAAUCCGACGAGCUGGGGCGGCGGCGACGUUAUUCGCCGGGAUUCUCCAGAGGAAUAAAAGUGAUGGGGGAGAUUAAAAAACCCUAGGUUGAUUUUUAUUUGAGAAUUAAGGGAAAAGGAAGGAAAUGAAGAAGAAGAAGAGGAGAGAGAGGCGCCGGCCUCGCCGCGCCGGAGGCGGCGAUGACCGGCGACGUCGCCAAGCGUGAGAGAGAGGGAGAGUGACAGACGCGGGCGAGUGAACAGAGAGAGAAAGACCACGUCUGAGGAGAGAAGGAGGAAUCUGAUUUCCUUUAUUUUAAGAAGAAGACUAGUUUUACUCCCUCCGUCCCGCGAAGCAUGACCCACUUUCCUUUUUGGGUUGUCCCACGAAGCUUGACCUGUUUCUAAAAAUAGCAAAAAAUUUACCCUUUAUUCACCUUUUCACUUUUUCACCUACCACACUUAACACACAAAAUACCAAUUUCUUAAUUCC
rnacentral:lncRNA from 1 species